rnacentral:rRNA from 1 species
CGUGUCUCUAGUGUCAGCAGCCGCGGUAAUACGGAGGGGGCGAGCGUUAUUCGGAAUUAUUGGGCGUAAAGGGCGCGUAGGCGGCUUGGCAAGUCAAAGGUGAAAUCCCUCGGCUCAACUGAGGAACUGCCUUUGAAACUGCCUGGCUUGAGGCCGGGAGGGGGUAGCGGAAUUCCCAGUGUAGCGGUGAAAUGCGUAGAUAUUGGGAGGAACACCAGUGGCGAAGGCGGCUACCUGGACCGGUUCUGACGCUGAUGCGCGAAAGCGUGGGUAGCAAACAGGAUUAGAUACCCUGGUAGUCCACGCUGUAAACGAUGGGGUGCUCGGUGUCGGCGGGUAUCCGACCCCUGCGGUGCCUUAGCU